rnacentral:rRNA from 1 species
GAUGAACGCUGGCGGCGUGCCUAAUACAUGCAAGUCGAGCGAACAGACGAGGAGCUUGCUCCUCUGACGUUAGCGGCGGACGGGUGAGUAACACGUGGAUAACCUACCUAUAAGACUGGGAUAACUUCGGGAAACCGGAGCUAAUACCGGAUAAUAUAUUGAACCGCAUGGUUCAAUAGUGAAAGACGGUUUUGCUGUCACUUAUAGAUGGACCCGCGCCGCAUUAGCUAGUUGGUAAGGUAACGGCUUACCAAGGCGACGAUGCGUAGCCGACCUGAGAGGGUGAUCGGCCACACUGGAACUGAGACACGGUCCAGACUCCUACGGGAGGCAGCAGUAGGGAAUCUUCCGCAAUGGGCGAAAGCUUGACGGAGCAACGCCGCGUGAGUGAUGAAGGUCUUCGGAUCGUAAAACUCUGUUAUUAGGGAAGAACAAAUGUGUAAGUAACUAUGCACGUCUUGACGGUACCUAAUCAGAAAGCCACGGCUAACUACGUG